rnacentral:rRNA from 1 species
AUGAACCGCCACCGCCGUGGCAUCUUCGACGGCCUUCCGAUUCCGGCCGACAAAUCUUACCUUAAGGAAGGGCUGUCGCGGAUCGACGAGGGAUGGGCCGCGGCGCGGUUCGACUCGCUGCCGCACGUCGUGCACAUCCUCACCUCGAAGGACCGCGAUGGCGAGAUCCAGUUCCUCAAGGAGCAGAGCGACCUCAUCGAGGACGUCGUUGACGAGGUCGUCCACGCGUACCACCAUGGUUUCAACAAGGCCAUCCAGAACUACUCCCAGAUCCUGCGGCUGUUCAGCGAAUCCGCCGAGAGCAUCACCGGCCUCAAGGGGGAGAUGGCAGAGGCCAAAAAGCUGCUUGGGAGGAAGAAUCAGCACCUUGGGCAGCUAUGGUACAGGUCCCUCACGCUGCGCCACGUGAUCUCCCUGCUGGAUCAGGUUGAGGAUGUUGCCAAGGUUCCUGCUCGGAUUGAGAACUUGAUGGCAGAGAAGCAGCUAUACGCCGCAGUGCAGUUGCAUGUUCAGUCAAUGCUGAUGCUAGAGCGGGAAGGCCUUCAAGCGGUAGGUGCUCUUCAAGAUGUUCGAUCUGAUCUAACAAAGCUGCGUGGUGCACUGUUCUACAAAAUUUUGGAGGAGCUGCAUUGCCACCUAUACAACAAUGGUGAAUAUAGCUUGGUGACUUUAAGCAUGGUUGACAGUGAGGACAUACCAACUUCUGGAGCCACUGGUCGCUUAGUAAACAGCAUGCAGCCUCUGUCCAGGAGAACAAUGUCUAUUAAAGGUGAAAAUCACUUUAGUGGACCAGCUACUGCAGAUGGGAUAACAAAAACUAGUUCUGUUGGAUGUUCUUCAUUUGAUGGCCCAGACGAUGAUAGUAGCUUAGGUGGUGGGUGUGGUCGGAAGGAUUCCAAAAGUUUCUCUUGUGAAAUUCCGAUUUUCCUUUCUUGCGCUACACCAGACGAGUUCCUUGAAUCAAUGAGGAAGGCAGAUGCUCCCCUCAAUGUGAAAUACUUAAGAACAUUGGUGCAAUGCUUAUCCAUGCUUCGAAAGGUUGCAGCUGCUGGAGCUGUGAUAUGGUAUUUACAUUCUAUUUUGUUUUAUAUAUUUGUCACACUGAGUAAGCUUUGCAUCUAUUAG